rnacentral:misc_RNA from 1 species
UGAUUUUAUUGUUUAGUGAGAAUGAUAUUUGUUCUUUAACAAUGUGGUAAAAAGUAUAAGUAAAGAUUCCUUGAUUAAUUUAGGGUUAUUUUUAGUUUAGGUUGAGAUGUAUUUUUAUGUCUUGAUUGAUUAUUAGAAAUAAUUUUUAGUUUAUUUAAUUAACGAGUCUUGGUAAUUUUUGAAAACCGGUGUUGAGAUAUAGUUUUGAUUGGUAUUAGUUAAUAGAUUUUAGAUUUAUUGAUAUAAGACUUUUUGGGGUUAUAUGAUCAAGGAAUAAGUGCAU